UACCUUUUGUAUAAUGGGUCAGCGACUUAUAUUCAGUAGCGAGGUUAACCGUAUAGGGGAGCCGUAGAGAAAUCGAGUCUUAAUAGGGCGUUUAGUUGCUGGGUAUAGACCCGAAACCAGGCGAUCUAUCCAUGAGCAGGUUGAAGGUUGGGUAACACUAACUGGAGGACCGAACCCACUGUCGUUGAAAAGCCAGGGGAUGACUUGUGGAUAGGGGUGAAAGGCUAAUCAAGCCUGGUGAUAGCUGGUUCUCCCCGAAAGCUAUUUAGGUAGCGCCUCGGACGAAUACCAUAGGGGGUAGAGCACUGUUUCGGCUAGGGGGUCAUCCCGACUUACCAAACCGAUGCAAACUCCGAAUACCUAUGAGUACUAUCCGGGAGACAGACUGCGGGUGCUAACGUCCGUAGUCAAGAGGAAAACAAUCCAGACCGCCAGCUAAGGCCCCAAAAUCAUAGUUAAGUGGGAAACGAUGUGGGAAGGCAUAGACAGCUAGGAGGUUGGCUUAGAAGCAGCCACCCUUUAAAGAAAGCGUAAUAGCUCACUAGUCGAGUCGGCCUGCGCGGAAGAUGUAACGGGGCUAAAACUAUGUGCCGAAGCUGCGGAUGUAUACUUUGUAUACGUGGUAGGGGAGCGUUCUGUAAGCCGAUGAAGGUGUGUUGAGAAGCAUGCUGGAGGUAUCAGAAGUGCGAAUGCUGACGUGAGUAACGACAAAACGGGUGAAAAACCCGUUCGCCGAAAGACCAAGGGUUCCAGUCCAACGUUAAUCGGGGCUGGGUGAGUCGACCCCUAAGGCGAGGCCGAAAGGCGUAGUCGAUGGGAAAAUGGUUAAUAUUCCAUUACUUCUGUGUAAUGCGAUGAGAGGACGGAGAAGGCUAAAUCAGCCUGGCGUUGGUUGUCCAGGUGAAAGGAUGUAGGCAUGUAUCUUAGGCAAAUCCGGGGUACUCUAUGCUGAGAUCUGAUAGCAAGCUGUACUUGUACAGCGAAGUGGUUGAUGCCAUGCUUCCAGGAAAAGUCUCUAAGCUUCAGUUACACAGGAAUCGUACCCGAAACCGACACAGGUGGUCAGGUCGAGUAGACCAAGGCGCUUGAGAGAACUCUGCUGAAGGAACUAGGCAAAAUGGUACCGUAACUUCGGGAGAAGGUACGCUGUUGUUGGUGAUGGAACUCGCUUCCUGAGCUGACGACAGCCGCAGAAACCAGGCCGCUGCAACUGUUUAUUAAAAACAUAGCACUCUGCAAACACGAAAGUGGACGUAUAGGGUGUGAUGCCUGCCCGGUGCUGGAAGGUUAAUUGAUGGGGUUAGCGUAAGCGAAGCUCUUGAUCGAAGCCCCAGUAAACGGCGGCCGUAACUAUAACGGUCCUAAGGUAGCGAAAUUCCUUGUCGGGUAAGUUCCGACCUGCACGAAUGGCAUAAUGAUGGCGGCGCUGUCUCCAGCAGAGGCUCAGUGAAAUCGAAAUCGCUGUGAAGAUGCAGUGUACCCGCGGCUAGACGGAAAGACCCCGUGAACCUUUACUGCAGCUUGACACUGAACUUUGACCUUACUUGUGUAGGAUAGGUGGGAGGCUUUGAAGCUGGAACGCUAGUUCCAGUGGAGCCGUCCUUGAAAUACCACCCUGGUAAUGUUGAGGUUCUAACUCUGUCCCGUGAUCCGGGACGAGGACCGUGUCUGGUGGGUAGUUUGACUGGGGCGGUCUCCUCCUAAAGAGUAACGGAGGAGUACGAAGGUGCGCUCAGCGUGGUCGGAAAUCACGCGUAGAGUAUAAAGGCAAAAGCGCGCUUAACUGCGAGACCCACAAGUCGAGCAGGUACGAAAGUAGGUCUUAGUGAUCCGGUGGUUCUGUAUGGAAGGGCCAUCGCUCAACGGAUAAAAGGUACUCUGGGGAUAACAGGCUGAUACCGCCCAAGAGUUCAUAUCGACGGCGGUGUUUGGCACCUCGAUGUCGGCUCAUCUCAUCCUGGGGCUGAAGCAGGUCCCAAGGGUAUGGCUGUUCGCCAUUUAAAGAGGUACGCGAGCUGGGUUUAGAACGUCGUGAGACAGUUCGGUCCCUAUCUACCGUGGGCGCUGGAAAUUUGAGAGGAUCUGCUCCUAGUACGAGAGGACCAGAGUGGACGAACCUCUGGUGUACCGGUUGUGACGCCAGUCGCAUCGCCGGGUAGCUAUGUUCGGAAGGGAUAACCGCUGAAAGCAUCUAAGCGGGAAGCCUACCUCAAGAUAAGAUUUCCCUAGGACUUUAUGUCCUCUAAAGAGCCGUUCGAGACUAGGACGUUGAUAGGUUGGAUGUGGAAGCAUAGUGAUAUGUGAAGCUGACCAAUACUAAUUGCUCGUGAGGCUUGACUA
rnacentral:rRNA from 1 species